AUUGAACGCUGGCGGCGUGCUUAACACAUGCAAGUCGAGCGGUAACAGGCGUAGCAAUACGUGCUGACGAGCGGCGAACGGGUGCGUAAUACAUGGGAAUCUGCCCUUUGGAGGGGAAUAACCCGGCGAAAGCCGGGCUAAUGCCGCAUGAGAUCUUCGGAUGAAAGCGGGGGAUCGUAAGACCUCGCGCCGAUGGAUGAGCCCAUGUCGGAUUAGCUGGUUGGUGAGGUCACGGUUCACCAAGGCGACGAUCCGUAGCUGGUCUGAGAGGACGGCCAGGCACACUGGGACUGAGACACGGCCCAGACUCCUACGGGAGGCAGCAGUGGGGAAUAUUGGACAAUGGGCGAAAGCCUGAUCCAGCGACGCCGCGUGUGUGAAGAAGGCCUGCGGGUUGUAAAGCACUUUCGAUGGGAACGAAAUGUGCCGGGCUAAUACCUCGGCAAGCUGACGUUACUCAAUGAAGAAGCACCGGCUAACUCUGUGCCAGCCGCCGCGGUAAGAC
rnacentral:rRNA from 1 species